GAUGAACGCUAGCGGCAGGCCUAACACAUGCAAGUCGAGGGAGAGGUUACCUUCGGGUAACCAAAACCGGCGCACGGGUGCGUAACGCGUAUACAAUCUGCCUUUCAUAUAGGGAUAGCCCGAAGAAAUUUGGAUUAAUACCUAAUGGUAUAUAAGAGCGGCAUCGUUUUUAUAUUAAAGCUACGGUGGUGAAAGAUGAGUAUGCGUUCUAUUAGCUAGUUGGAGAGGUAACGGCUCCCCAAGGCGACGAUAGAUAGGGGUUCUGAGAGGGAUGUCCCCCACACUGGUACUGAGAUACGGACCAGACUCCUACGGGAGGCAGCAGUGAGGAAUAUUGGACAAUGGUCGGAAGACUGAUCCAGCCAUGCCGCGUGCAGGAUGAAGGUCCUAUGGAUUGUAAACUGCUUUUGUAAGGGAAGAAUAAGGAGUACGUGUACUUUGAUGACGGUACCUUACGAAUAAGCAUCGGCUAACUCCGUGCCAGCAGCCGCGGUAAUACGGAGGAUGCGAGCGUUAUCCGGAAUCAUUGGGUUUAAAGGGUCCGUAGGCGGGCUGAUAAGUCAGAGGUGAAAGCGCUUAGCUCAACUAAGCAACUGCCUUUGAAACUGUCAGUCUUGAAUGAUUGUGAAGUAGUUGGAAUGUGUAGUGUAGCGGUGAAAUGCUUAGAUAUUACACAGAACACCGAUAGCGAAGGCAUAUUACUAACAAUUUAUUGACGCUGAUGGACGAAAGCGUGGGGAGCGAACAGG
rnacentral:rRNA from 1 species